GACGAACGCUGGCGGCGUGCUUAACACAUGCAAGUCGUACGGUAAGGCCCUUUCGGGGGUACACGAGUGGCGAACGGGUGAGUAACACGUGAGUAACCUGCCCACAACUUUGGGAUAACGCUAGGAAACUGGUGCUAAUACUGGAUAUGUGCUCCUGCUGCAUGGUGGGGGUUGGAAAGCUCCGGCGGUUGUGGAUGGACUCGCGGCCUAUCAGCUUGUUGGUGGGGUAGUGGCCUACCAAGGCGGCGACGGGUAGCCGGCCUGGGGGGGUGACCGGCCACAUUGGGACUGAGAUAAGGCCCAGACUCCUACGGGAGGCAGCAGUGGGGAAUAUUGCAAAAUGGGCGCAAGCCUGAUGCAGCAACGCCGCGUGCGGGAUGACGGCCUUCGGGUUGUAAACCGCUUUCAGCAGGGACGAAGCUUUUUGUGACGGUACCUGCAGAAGAAGCACCGGCUAACUACGUG
rnacentral:rRNA from 1 species